rnacentral:miRNA from 1 species
UAUUACUCCCUCCGUUCCAAA